UCGGGGAUGGGAGCGCCUAGGGACCCGAACCGAGUGCACCUGCUGCAGCCUGGCACUAGGGAUUUGAAAAUCCAUGGAGAUGGAAACCUAUGCCGAGGUUAGAAGACCUGGAUCCACUUUGCAGGAUUUUAAAUAUCCUUCAAGCCUCAGUGCCUGGCAGACUGGACUUUGGACUUCGGACUUCCAGCUCCGAUGCUGAAAAAGGAGGGUUUUUUUUUUUUGCUUUUGUUUGUUUGUUUGUUUGUUUGUUUUCCACUUUGCUUCCUUGCUUGUCGAGGCUGAGAACAUACGGUGUUUUUGAGGGCCAUCAUCUAAGGGUACUCGCUUCUCCAAACCUUGGAACCCGAGGUCUAGCCUUGGAAAGAGUUGCCGCCUUACCGUCUCUCCUCGCCUAGAGAAGCCCCAGCUGUGUGCGCUACUGCAGGGUCACAGUGCCGUGGUGCCGAGCUUCUUUCGUGGUCCCUGUCGCCGUCAGUUUCUUGAGAUUUCAGACUCUGGGCUUGGAAACCAGUUGACUGCCUUUCUUAGCGAGGUGCCCUCGGAAACCUGUGGAGGAAUGUUUGGAUUAUGAAUGCUCACCGUGCCGAGUCCUCGAAGCUGUGUGACAGAGGUGGAGCACCUGGAAUGCACAGAGAACCAGGCUCCCUUUGGAAAAUAUUCACUUGCUUCCACCAGCCCAAACCCAAAGGUACCAUCAGUAUGUGAGGCCUACAACAGGGUUCUCUGUUUUCCUGUAGCCAGCCUCUCUGAUGCUCCCAACAAUGUAUUUGAAAAGCA
rnacentral:lncRNA from 1 species